CCUACGGGCGGCAGCAGUCGAGAAUCAUUCACAAUGGGGGAAACCCUGAUGGUGCGACGCCGCGUGGGGGAAUGAAGGUCUUCGGAUUGUAAACCCCUGUCAUGUGGGAGCAAAUUAAAAAGAUAGUACCACAAGAGGAAGAGACGGCUAACUCUGUGCCAGCAGCCGCGGUAAUACAGAGGUCUCAAGCGUUGUUCGGAAUCACUGGGCGUAAAGUGUGCGUAGGCUGUUUCGUAAGUCGUGUGUGAAAGGCGCGGGCUCAACCCGCGGACGGCACAUGAUACUGCGAGACUAGAGUAAUGGAGGGGGAACCGGAAUGCUCGGUGUAGCAGUGAAAUGCGUAGAUAUCGAGAGGAACACUCGUGGCGAAGGCGGGUUCCUGGACAUUAACUGACGCUGAGGCACGAAGGCCAGGGGAGCGAAAGGGAUUAGAUACCCUGGUAGUC
rnacentral:rRNA from 1 species